UAGUAAGUUAGUAAGGGCACAUGGUGGAUGCCUUGGCGCACGGAGCCGAUGAAGGACGCAGCAAGCCUGCGAUAGGCCACGGGGAGCUGCAAAACAAGCUGUGAUCCGUGGAUGUCCGAAUGGGGAAACCCGUGAGGGUAAAACCCUCACAUCCUUGCCUGAACACAUAGGGCAAGGAGGGGAACCAAGGGAACUGAAACAUCUUAGUACCUUGAGGAAAAGAAAUCAACAGAGAUUCCCUGAGUAGUGGCGAGCGAAAGGGGAACAGCCUAAACCGUUUGUGUGUAAAAGCUCACGGGCGUUGCACAAACGGGGUAGCGGGACAAGCCGUCUCUCCCCGUGAGGAGAGUAUGGAGUGAGAAAUAAACUGCUUAGCCGAAUGCUUUGGAAAGAGCAACCAAAGAGGGUGAUAGUCCCGUAGGCGAAAAGCAGUUUACUCCUAGGCUUGAUCCCAAGUACCGCGGGACACGAGGAACCCUGCGGGAAUCAGGGAGGACCACCUUCCAAGGCUAAAUACUCCGGCGACCGAUAGUGAACAUAGUACCGCGAGGGAAAGGUGAAAAGAACCCCGGGAGGGGAGUGAAAUAGAACCUGAAACCAUGUGCCUACAAUGGGUAGGAGGGCUAUGAAGCAGCAAUGCUUCAGCCUGACUGCGUGCCUAUUGAAGUAUGACCCAAGGAGUUGAUGGCAGUGGCAAGGCUAAGGGGUGAAACCCGGAGCCGUAGCGAAAGCGAGUCCGAAUAGGGCGUUAGUCGCUGUCAUCAGACUCGAAACCAGGUGGCCAACCCAUGGCCAGGGUGAAACGGGUGUAAGAGCCCGUGGAGGCCCGAACCGGUCGGGGGAAAAAACUCGUCGGAUGAGCUGUGGGUAGGAGAGAAAUUCUAACCGAACCUGGAGAUAGCUAGUUCUCGCCGAAAUGCAUUUAGGUGCAGCGGUAGGAAAUUAGCAUGCGGGGGUAGAGCUCUGGAUGGGCUAGGGGUCUUACCAGACUUCCGAACCCAACCAAACUGCGAAUACCGCAUUGCCGUAUCCUACCAGUGAGUCGGUGGGCUCUAAGGUCCAUCGUCGAGUAGGGGAACAACCCAGAUCGUCUGCUAAGGUCCCUAAAGUAGACUAAGUGCAUCAAAGGAUGUGGGACUGCUUAGACAGCUAGGAGGUUAGCUUAGAAGCAGCUAUCCUUUAAAGAGUGCGUAACAGCUCACUAGUCGAGCGGUCCUGCGCCGAAAAUGUUCGGGGCUAAGUCUACUACCGAAGCAGCGGGUUCAAGGUGUCUUCGGACAUCUUGAGCGGUAGGCGAGCGUUCCAGUUGCUGAGAAGGCAUACCGUGAGGAGUGCUGGAGCGACUGGAAGUGAGAAUCUUGGGUUGAGUAACGAAAAGCAGGGCGAGAAUCCCUGCCGCCGUAAGUCUAAGGUUUCCUGGGGAAGGUUCGUCCGCCCAGGGUUAGUCGGGCCUAAGCCGAGGCCGAAAGGCGUAGGUGAUGGACAACAGGUUAAUAUUCCUGUACCGCAUAUCUUCCGCUAUCAGGAAGGGGUGACGGAGGAGGAUAGGCCAAGCGCGGUUCUGGUCGUCCGCGUCCAAGCUGGUAGGAGGCAUCCGGAGGCAAAUCCCUGGAUGCGUUAACUCCGAGAAGCGAUGGGGAGCCGCAAGGCGAAGUGGCUGAUUCCACACUCACGAGAAAAACCUCUAACGAGGAAGAUGUGCGCCCGUACCGCAAUCCAACACAGGUAGACGGGGAGCACGCUCCCAAGGCGUUCGAAAGAAUCCUCUUCAAGGAACUCGGCAAGUUAGCCCCGUAACUUCGGGAGAAGGGGUGCCUGAGGAGGUGGUAGGAACAUUGCUUCCUACUGCGUCUUCGGGUCUCAGUAAACAGGCUCAGGCGACUGUUUAACAAAAACACAGGUCUCUGCUAAGUCGUAAAGACGACGUAUAGGGGCCGACGCUUGCCCGGUGCCGGAAGGUUAUAGGGAGGGGUUAGUGGGCGUAAGCCCGCGAAGCUCCGAACUUAAGCCCCGGUGAACGGCGGCCGUAACUAUAACGGUCCUAAGGUAGCGAAAUACCUUGUCGGGUAAGUUCCGACGCGCAUGAAAAGCGUAACGAUCUGAGCGCCGUCUCGAAGAGGAAUUCGGUGAAAUAACGGUGGUCGUGCAGACGCGGCCUACCCGUAGCAGGACGGAAAGACCCCGUGGAGCUUUACUGUACCCUGAUACUGAACUUCGGUAUACCAUGUAUAGGAUAUGUGGGAGGCUGAGAACCCAGGGCGCCAGCUCUGGGGGAGCCAACGGUGGAAUACCACACUUGGUAUGCUGAAGUUCUAACUCCUUGCCCUAAUCGGGCGGGAGGACAAUGUCAGGCGGGCAGUUUGACUGGGGCGGUCGCCUCCUAAAAGGUAACGGAGGUGCCCAAAGGUUCCCUCAGGCUGGUUGGAAAUCAGCCGUUGAGUGCAAAGGCAUAAGGGAGCUUGACUGCUUAGACCGACAGGUCGAACAGACACGAAAGUGGGGCUUAGUGAUCCGGCGGUGGUGUGUGGAAACGCCGUCGCUCAACGGAUAAAAGCUACCCCGGGGAUAACAGGCUGAUCUUUCCCGAGAGUUCACAUCGACGGGAAGGUUUGGCACCUCGAUGUCGGCUCAUCGCAUCCUGGGGCUGGAUAAGGUCCCAAGGGUCCGGCUGUUCGCCGGUUAAAGCGGUACGUGAGCUGGGUUCAGAACGUCGUGAGACAGUUCGGUCCUAAUCCGCUACGGGCGUAGGAGGUUUGAAGGGGGUUUCCCGGUAGUACGAGAGGACCCCGGGAAGGAGACCGCUGGUGGACCAGUUGUCCCGCCAGGGGCAGGAGCUGGGUAGCUAAGUCUCUAUUGGAUAAGCGCUGAAAGCAUCUAAAGCGCGAAGCCUACCCCAAGAUUAGACCUCCCAUCCUUGCGCAAGCAAGGAGUAAGACCCCUCGUAGACUACGAGGUUGAUAGGCCCGAGGUGUAAGCGCAGCAAUGCGUUAAGCUGACGGGUACUAAUAGGUCGAGGACUUACUAUA
rfam:Caldisericum exile AZM16c01 DNA, complete genome.